GGCCGUUACGGCCGAAAAGAUGGCGGUCUUGGCACCUCUAAUUGCUCUCGUGUAUUCGGUGCCGCGACUUUCACGAUGGCUCGCCCAACCUUACUACCUUCUGUCGGCCCUGCUCUCUGCUGCCUUCCUACUCGUGAGGAAACUGCCGCCGCUCUGCCACGGUCUGCCCACCCAACGCGAAGACGGUAACCCGUGUGACUUUGACUGGAGAGAAGUGGAGAUCCUGAUGUUUCUCAGUGCCAUUGUGAUGAUGAAGAACCGCAGAUCCAGAGGAACUAGAACGGGACAAGAGGGUCACUUGGAUUGUGGAGUUCUUUGCCAAUUGGUCUAAUGACUGCCAAUCAUUUGCCCCUAUCUAUGCUGACCUCUCCCUUAAGUGAGUAGUGCAAAGGGAGGGAUGGUGGAAAUGGAGAUGCUGUGCCUUCCCUCUCACUGUUUUUGGCUUUUCUUUUUCUUUUGGCCUUGAUUUUCACACAUGGUAACCAAAGGCAUCUCCCUCUCCCCUCUUAAAUAUCUAUACUUCCACUUUCCUUGAUCCAUUAUUUUUUUUCAGCAUAUUAAAUAAUAUAUUCUUUUCAGAUACAACUGUACAGGGCUAAAUUUUGGGAAGGUGGAUGUUGGACGCUAUACUGAUGUUAGUACGCGGUACAAAGUGAGCACAUCACCCCUCACCAAGCAACUCCCUACCCUGAUCCU
rnacentral:lncRNA from 1 species